GACGAACGCUGGCGGCGUGCUUAACACAUGCAAGUCGAACGGUAAGGCCCUUCGGGGUACACGAGUGGCGAACGGGUGAGUAACGCGUGAGUAACCUGCCCUUCACUCUGGGAUAACAGUUGGAAACGGCUGCUAAUACCGGAUAUUCAGCUCCUGUCGCAUGGUGGGGGUUGGAAAGUUUUGGUGGUGGAGGAUGGGCUCGCGUCCUAUCAGCUUGUUGGUGGGGUGAUGGCCUACCAAGGCGUCGACGGGUAGCCGGCCUGAGAGGGCGACCGGCCACAUUGGGACUGAGAUACGGCCCAAACUCCUUCGGGAGGCAGCAGUGGGGAAUAUUGCACAAUGGGCGGAAGCCUGAUGCAGCAACGCCGCGUGCGGGAUGACGGCCUUCGGGUUGUAAACCGCUUUCAGCAGGGACGAAGCGCAAGUGACGGUACCUGCAGAAGAAGCACCGGCUAACUACGUG
rnacentral:rRNA from 1 species